CACUACUCCAGGCUUUGGCUAUAAAGUGGUGAACACGUCAAGAUCUCCCCAUUCUCAUGGAGCUGACCUUCUAGUAGGAAAGACAAUGACUAGACAACCAUCUGCCAGGAAGUCAGGUCAAGGUUAUGGCUGCAGGAUGGGCGGGAGGACAGGCCAGAACUGAAUGGCCACUAUGGAGAUCAAACCCAGGCAUGGUGAUGCCUUUCUGAACGCGGACCUCUGAUCCUCUGCUCGAGUCUCUGGGCAGAUGGUUACAACGCAGAUUCCUGGCACCCCCCACCCCCACGCCCGGCCCACUGAAUCAGAAUCUGAGAGACGUUGUCAUUGACAUAAGUCCUGCAGGUGUGUGCUGGGAGGCGGGGCCAAGGAGGAGGUUUUCCAACUGCUGGACUGUUCCUUACACGUUCUCCGCAUCAGCCAGUUUCAACAGCAGCAGAGCAUGCCAAGGACUAGAGACACCGCUGUGCAGGUAGCCGUCCCUACUCUCAGGCACUUGGGACUCUUCCACGUUAUGGAUAAUGUGGGCGUGAACAUCCUUAUGCACACUUGCCCUUAUGCGGACUCGUGCCUUAAAGUCCAUUCUCAGAACAAAGGACGAAAAGGGUAUGAACAUUUUUAUGGCUCCUACCAUAAUAGCACUAAAUUGCAUUUUCCAGAAAGGCUGCACAUUUGGGCCGACACCUGCAACGUGCAAGAGUGUCAAUUUCAUCACAGUGCUGCCAGCAUUUCCACCCCUCAGUUACAGAUAAGGAAACUGAGGCUGCAUUGCUGAAGUGACCUGUGACCUAUGUCAAGUGACACAUUCAGUCCGUGCCAGAACUGGGACAAAAACCCAGGGAUUUCUCAUUCAGGGGCCAGGAUGUUUCGCCACGGCCGACUUCCUCAGUCUCCAACCAGGCAGGAGGGAGAAAUCAAGUCUGGCAGGUCACUCUCUGUCCCCCGCCCCUCCCUGCCAGCUCUGACCUCAGCUAGGAGCUCACGUUUCAGUGCAUUUCAUUGUUUUUCUGCCUGUAAAACUGGGCCUCUCCCUUGUCUGCUCAAGCUCCACAUCCUGAGUGAACUCUCUGAUUCCUCCGAGGAGGCCAUCACAUACUUGAACCGUGGGUUAGAUGCAGAUAAGUGGAUGGGGAAGGAGUGGGACAAAGGCGAGGUGACAGUCCCGGGGAAGGACAAAGGCCAGGCCAGAUCAGCCAGAGCAGUGGGGGCCCCAGGGGGAAAGUUAAGACGCAAAGGAGUUGGGGCCCAGGGUGGCAGACAAAGGAGUCCAAAUGGGAGGCCUUGAGCACAUGCCUAGGCCUCCAUCUGCUACUGGGAUGUGGGUUGUUCCCAUGAGAAAACUGGGUUCUGGCUUUAGCGGGGGCGGGGGCAGUCCUUACCAAGGUGUCUGGGGGUGCAGAGGAUUCCCAACCCCCCAGCUAAUCAUAUGGAAAUUGCAUGAGUAUGUGAGCGUGUUCCUUUUUCUGGGAAGACAGCCCAUAGAGCUUAACAGAUUUUCAAAAAAGUUUAUGACCCCCUCUAAAAGUUCAAAAAAUAAAAGUUAGAUGAAAAGUG